CUUUAUAAUGGCGUAAUUGAAAUUUUCUUUAAAAGCAUAAUUUUUAUAAUUCUCACUUUAACCUGUACUACUUUCCUUCUUGUUCUUCUUCGUUAUUUCCAACAACUCCGUCAUUCUCAAUCGCCUCCACCGCCACUAUCUUCAUCGCUCACCGUCACCAUAAUCUUUGUCGCCGCCGACACAACCAGCAUGACCACCUCCGUCGCGUCCACCAUGAUUAUAAGCAGAUCUAUUACGAUUAUGCUUUCGAUUUCAAAUGAUUUCAAGCCAGAUACAAAGAUUAAUUUGAUUUUAGAUUUCGAUUUGAUAGUUUCGAGUGGAUUACGAGUUAAAGAUUCAGAUCCAGUGAGUUUGAUCUCGAUCUUUGUUCAUUCUGAAACUGAAACUGGUAAGAUUCAACUUUAAUUUUAGGUUUUGAAUUUUGAAAUUUCUGAAAACUAAUUUAGGUUGUUGCUGUUGCAUGUGUGAUGUCAAUGGAUGUUACAGUGGUGGCGGUAGGUGUUGCCGCAGUACGAAAUUGUCUGUUUAUUAUUUAACCAUUUAUUCAAUACCAAAAUACCAAAUUGUGGUGUUGUUAAUAACACUUCACAAUCAGAUCCAAGUUGACCCCAGGAGAUGUCUUGGGAUUGCACUUAGUUGAGGCUACCGAAUUUAAGGCGAUCAUUUUGUGGUUGGUGCUGAUGAAUACAAAGUUGACAUGCAGGAAAGGUAAUGAUACUGAUGUUACAAAGUAAGUACAUGAAUAUGUUUAAUAAGAACAGUAAUGGGUAUAAAAGAUUUGUGAAAAAUGAAUGAUUUUUGUUUGGGUCAAGUUUUUCGAAAUGAUUAUGGCAGUAUGUUUUUUUACUACGAUGCAUUGAUGCAAAUGUGCUGUUAAUGCCUGCAUAAGCACACCAUCAAAAUUUAAUCCAUUGGUUGGACAGCAACGAGACAACUAUUAGGCUGAUUUGGUUGUUCUAAACACUGUUGCGGCUAGGAGGAAGCAGAGGAUGAUGUUGGUGGCUACUGCGAUGAAGGUGGGGGACUGGCAGUGACUAAAAUGUGCAUUAUAGAAGUAAAAAUGGAGUUGUUGGUGUUGUUUUCCAUGAAUAUGAAAUUGCAAGUCUGGAUUAUCAAUUGUUGUUCAUUAUAUGUAUUACCGUUGUUGACCCAAUUUUUUAUGGUAUCAACUCCUGUUGUUGAUCUAAUUUUUUUAUGGGAUCAACUACUGAUGUUGAUCCUUUCAACUACUAUUGUUGACAAUAUUUUCUUGGAUAAG